UACGUAGGUGGCGAGCGUUAUCCGGAAUUACUGGGCGUAAAGCGCGCGUAGGUGGUUCGUUAAGUUGGAUGUGAAAUCCCCGGGCUCAACCUGGGAACUGCAUCCAAAACUGGCGAGCUAGAGUAUGGUAGAGGGUGGUGGAAUUUCCUGUGUAGCGGUGAAAUGCGUAGAUAUAGGAAGGAACACCAGUGGCGAAGGCGACCACCUGGACUGAUACUGACACUGAGGUGCGAAAGCGUGGGGAGCAAACAGG
rnacentral:rRNA from 1 species